rnacentral:rRNA from 1 species
AGCAGCCGCGGUAAUUCCAGCUCCAAUAGCGUAUAUUAAAGUUGUUGCAGUUAAAAAGCUCGUAGUUGAAUUUCGGGAUCAAGUCGUCGGUCGUGCUCAGGUACGUACUGGCGUCAUUGAUUUCUCCCUUCUGACGAACCAUGAUGUCAUUAACUUGGUGUCAUGGGAAAUCAGGACUGUUACUUUGAAAAAAUUAGAGUGUUUAAAGCAGGCUCACGCUUGAAUACAUUAGCAUGGAAUAAUGAAAUAGGACGUUCGAUCCUAUUUUGUUGGUUUUAGGAUCAACGUAAUGAUUAAUAGGGAUAGUUGGGGGCAUUAGUAUUCAAUUGUCAGAGGUGAAAUUCUUGGAUUUAUUGAAGACUAACUACUGCGAAAGCAUUUGCCAAGGAUGUUUUCAUUAAUCAAGAACGAAAGUUAGGGGAUCGAAGACGAUCAGAUACCGUCGUAGUCUUAACCA